rnacentral:rRNA from 1 species
AGGGCGCACGGUGGAUGCCUUGGCACUAGAAGCCGAUGAAGGACGUUACUAACGACGAUAUGCUUUGGGUAGCUGUAAGUAAGCGUUGAUCCAGAGAUUUCCGAAUGGGGGAACCCAGCAUGAGUUAUGUCAUGUUAUCGACAUGUGAAUUCAUAGCAUGUCAGAAGGCAGACCCGGAGAACUGAAACAUCUUAGUACCCGGAGGAAGAGAAAGAAAAAUCGAUUCCCUGAGUAGCGGCGAGCGAAACGGGAAGAGCCCAAACCAACAAGCUUGCUUGUUGGGGUUGUAGGACACUCUAUACGGAGUUACAAAAGAACAUGUUAGACGAAUCAUCUGGAAAGAUGAAUCAAAGAAGGUAAUAAUCCUGUAGUCGAAAACAUAUUCUCUCUUGAGUGGAUCCUGAGUACGACGGAGCACGUGAAAUUCCGUCGGAAUCUGGGAGGACCAUCUCCUAAGGCUAAAUACUCUCUAGUGACCGAUAGUGAACCAGUACCGUGAGGGAAAGGUGAAAAGUACCCCGGAAGGGGAGUGAAAGAGAACUUGAAACCGUGUGCUUACAAGUAGUCAGAGCCCGUUAAUGGGUGAUGGCGUGCCUUUUGUAGAAUGAACCGGCGAGUUACGAUCUGAUGCAAGGUUAAGCAGCAAAUGUGGAGCCGCAGCGAAAGCGAGUCUGAAUAGGGCGUUGAGUAUUUGGUCGUAGACCCGAAACCAGGUGAUCUACCCUUGGUCAGGUUGAAGUUCAGGUAACACUGAAUGGAGGACCGAACCGACUUACGUUGAAAAGUGAGCGGAUGAACUGAGGGUAGCGGAGAAAUUCCAAUCGAACUUGGAGAUAGCUGGUUCUCUCCGAAAUAGCUUUAGGGCUAGCCUCAAGUGAUGAUUAUUGGAGGUAGAGCACUGUUUGGACGAGGGGCCCCUCUCGGGUUACCGAAUUCAGACAAACUCCGAAUGCCAAUUAAUUUAACUUGGGAGUCAGAACAUGGGUGAUAAGGUCCGUGUUCGAAAGGGAAACAGCCCAGACCACCAGCUAAGGUCCCAAAAUAUAUGUUAAGUGGAAAAGGAUGUGGCGUUGCCCAGACAACUACAGCCCAGACCACCAGCUAAGGUCCCAAAAUAUAUGUUAAGUGGAAAAGGAUGUGGCGUUGCCCAGACAACUAGGAUGUUGGCUUAGAAGCAGCCAUCAUUUAAAGAGUGCGUAAUAGCUCACUAGUCGAGUGACACUGCGCCGAAAAUGUACCGGGGCUAAACAUAUUACCGAAGCUGUGGAUUGUCCUUUGGACAAUGGUAGGAGAGCGUUCUAAGGGCGUCGAAGCAUGAUCGCAAGGACAUGUGGAGCGCUUAGAAGUGAGAAUGCCGGUGUGAGUAGCGAAAGACGGGUGAGAAUCCCGUCCACCGAUUGACUAAGGUUUCCAGAGGAAGGCUCGUCCGCUCUGGGUUAGUCGGGUCCUAAGCUGAGGCCGACAGGCGUAGGCGAUGGAUAACAGGUUGAUAUUCCUGUACCACCUAGUAUCGUUUUAAUCGAUGGGGGGACGCAGUAGGAUAGGCGAAGCGUGCUGUUGGAGUGCACGUCCAAGCAGUAAGGCUGAGUGUUAGGCAAAUCCGGCACUCAUAAGGCUGAGCUGUGAUGGGGAGAGGAAAUUGUUUCCUCGAGUCGUUGAUUUCACACUGCCGAGAAAAGCCUCUAGAUAGAUAACAGGUGCCCGUACCGCAAACCGACACAGGUAGUCAAGAUGAGAAUUCUAAGGUGAGCGAGCGAACUCUCGUUAAGGAACUCGGCAAAAUGACCCCGUAACUUCGGGAGAAGGGGUGCUCUUUAGGGUUCACGCCCAGAAGAGCCGCAGUGAAUAGGCCCAAGCGACUGUUUAUCAAAAACACAGGUCUCUGCUAAACCGUAAGGUGAUGUAUAGGGGCUGACGCCUGCCCGGUGCUGGAAGGUUAAGAGGAGUGGUUAGCUUCUGCGAAGCUACGAAUCGAAGCCCCAGUAAACGGCGGCCGUAACUAUAACGGUCCUAAGGUAGCGAAAUUCCUUGUCGGGUAAGUUCCGACCCGCACGAAAGGCGUAACGAUUUGGGCACUGUCUCAACGAGAGACUCGGUGAAAUCAUAGUACCUGUGAAGAUGCAGGUUACCCGCGACAGGACGGAAAGACCCCGUGGAGCUUUACUGUAGCCUGAUAUUGAAAUUCGGCACAGCUUGUACAGGAUAGGUAGGAGCCUUUGAAACGUGAGCGCUAGCUUACGUGGAGGCGUUGGUGGGAUACUACCCUAGCUGUGUUGGCUUUCUAACCCGCACCACUUAUCGUGGUGGGAGACAGUGUCAGGCGGGCAGUUUGACUGGGGCGGUCGCCUCCUAAAAGGUAACGGAGGCGCUCAAAGGUUCCCUCAGAAUGGUUGGAAAUCAUUCAUAGAGUGUAAAGGCAUAAGGGAGCUUGACUGCGAGACCUACAAGUCGAGCAGGGUCGAAAGACGGACUUAGUGAUCCGGUGGUUCCGCAUGGAAGGGCCAUCGCUCAACGGAUAAAAGCUACCCCGGGGAUAACAGGCUUAUCUCCCCCAAGAGUUCACAUCGACGGGGAGGUUUGGCACCUCGAUGUCGGCUCAUCGCAUCCUGGGGCUGUAGUCGGUCCCAAGGGUUGGGCUGUUCGCCCAUUAAAGCGGUACGCGAGCUGGGUUCAGAACGUCGUGAGACAGUUCGGUCCCUAUCCGUCGUGGGCGUAGGAAAUUUGAGAGGAGCUGUCCUUAGUACGAGAGGACCGGGAUGGACAUACCUCUGGUGUACCAGUUGUCGUGCCAACGGCAUAGCUGGGUAGCUAUGUAUGGACGGGAUAAGUGCUGAAAGCAUCUAAGCAUGAAGCCCCCCUCAAGAUGAGAUUUCCCAACUUCGGUUAUAAGAUCCCUCGAAGAUGACGAGGUUAAUAGGUUCGAGGUGGAAGCGUGGUGACACGUGGAGCUGACGAAUACUAAUCGAUCGAAGACUUAAUC